UGAGUGGCAGAGCCAGCCCAGGAGCAGCUGAUUGGGCAGUGAGCCUGGAAUAGGCCGGCCCUGCAGUAACCACAUCCAUUGAAUGGCUACUCCAGUGACUCCUCUCCGCCCUUCAGAACUUCUUCGAUUUCCAGCCUCUCCCGCCACAACCUCUUCUCUGUGUCUCCCCCUACCCCCACUCUCUCUCUCUCACGCACAUACACAGAACCCUGAUGGGUAAUAAACAGCAGCCAGAGGCUGGAUGCAAUCUGGAAAUUACAAGGUUGUUGGGGGGUGGGGGGAAUCCCUGUGGCCGGCAGAGCUUUCUGAAAUAUUAACAUUUUCAGGAGGCACGGAGUAUGGGCUAAUCUAUGUGACGUACGUGCAGCAACCUUUGGCCCCCCCUUUUUUAAAAACAAUUCUCCCCCCUCACCAAGUUAUAACUUUAUUUAUGAGGGCAGUUGUGGUGGGCUGCUGGCUGCAAUUUUCACAAAGUGAUUGAAGUCUUUUCUCGUCCGGGGUAGGGAGCAUCAAGUUCACCACAACAUGGAAACUCCACGUGUUCGCCAGAACUCUGCAAAAUGCGUUCUGGUGAAGUGUGGGAUUACGUCUGAACAUCACCCAGUUCCAAAAAGAAAACUAUCCUCACCGGAAAGGAGAUUGCUGAAGGACAAAGUUUAAAGGAGAAAAGAAGAGGAGCCGUUGCUCGGAUUUGAACGGAAAAAAAAUAAGAUGGCUUUUUUUUCUUAUUUUCUAAACGUGCAAAUAGACGGAAGGCAGCUGGAAGGUGGUGGCCCAAGACUGGGAGGAUUCUGCAAAAGCUGGAGGAGAAGGAACGAGUGGGUUGAAGAAUCGUGAAAAUAAGUCGGACGUGCUGUGAAUUGAAUGUUGAUUUUUAAAAAAGGAACCACUCGAGGUGAAAAUGUGACUAUGGUGAAAUGCGGUUAAAAUCCGGCAAAAAAGUGAGAAAAUGGAAGGUAACACUCCUCCAUUGUCCUUCUUCCAAAACCGCAGCAGCUACCUUGUUGAUAAAGGCGCUAGAGCCGAGUUCACUGGGCACGCCGCCUCACUAACACCGCUUCUGCUUUAGAACAAAAGAGCACAUGGCAUUACAAGGAGAGGCACAGAGACCUCGUUUAAUCAAACCAUCAAAACCUUGUUUAUUUUUGACGCAGUGCAUUAUUCAUGUUAAAAUAACGUAGUUAAUUAAGACAGGGUGGAGGAAAUCAACUUUAAAACUUGGGGAUAUAUGAGAAAGUAGUUUGUUCGCUCUCUGGAUGACGAGACGGGUAACUUUGAAGUGAAAUCGGAUCUAUUGAUGUAAUACUUCAAACCGAAAAGGUUGCUAGAUUCCUCUGCCUUUAUAGCGCCGUUUACAAUUGUUAAAGGGCUAUAAAAUAUAAAAUCCCUACAUUAAUCGGUACUGAUACUAUCUUCGGGGUUUUAUUCUGCGCCCGCCAUGUGUUUGGAACCGUGUAAAAACAUGUCUAACACAAACAUUAUAAUGAAGCUCCAUGUCUGUGAUAAUGCCUGUAUAAUUUAUUUGGGAAACGUGUUUUCUCCCUACGGUGAUUCAUAGUACAUAGAGAUCAUUCAUAGGGCGUUGAGAUAUCUUUCUGCUCCGUUUGAAUGCUGAGUUGGUCUUCCAAUGGUUUUAACGUUGCAAUUCUACCCGGUUUGUAGCACAUAUUGUGGGACUGCAAGUACGGAGGGAUAUUCUUUCUUUUGAGUUGGUUUUGACUAUUUCGUACGAAUUUAAAUUCCCAGCAAAACAAAUUUAACUGGAGCAUCGUGGAUCAGAAGGAGAACUCUCUCUGGAGUUACGAGCACGUUCCAAAUACACAUUUUAAAGAAGCCCAGACCUGACCACGGGAUGAAUUGCGGGCAAAGGCUCACCAGGCUACAUAAAAGAUGGAGAACUUCUGUAACUGCCCUUAAACACGUACAAACCACUAUUAAAUCCGGAGGUUGUUCACUGUUAGCUACACCGCGUUCACACGGUUUAAAACAAGAAUGGAGACUGUCUUGACAAUAUGCGGACUCGUACACGUUGCUGCAGGAAUCUUGUCUUCACCCUGAUUACUGUAUAUCUAAUUUGUUAUUGCUGUUAAUGUAUAGUUAUGACUGAUAAUAUACAUAUAUAUAUACUUU